CGGGGCGUAGUGUAGUGGUUGCACGAGUCUUUUGGGAAGAUUUAGUCCGAGUUCGAUUCUCGGCGCCCCGACCA
rnacentral:tRNA from 1 species